GGUUAAGCGACUAAGCGUACACGGUGGAUGCCCUGGCAGUCAGAGGCGAUGAAGGACGUGCUAAUCUGCGAAAAGCGUCGGUAAGGUGAUAUGAACCGUUAUAGCCGGCGAUGUCCGAAUGGGGAAACCCAGUGCAAUUCGUUGCACUAUCGUUAACUGAAUACAUAGGUUAACGAGGCGAACCGGGGGAACUGAAACAUCUAAGUACCCCGAGGAAAAGAAAUCAACCGAGAUUCCCCCAGUAGCGGCGAGCGAACGGGGAGCAGCCCAGAGUCUGAAUCAGCUUGUGUGUUAGUGGAACGGUCUGGAAAGUCCGACGGUACAGGGUGAUAGUCCCGUACACCAAAAUGCACAGGCUGUGAACUCGAAGAGUAGGGCGGGACACGUGGUAUCCUGUCUGAAUAUGGGGGGACCAUCCUCCAAGGCUAAAUACUCCUGACUGACCGAUAGUGAACCAGUACCGUGAGGGAAAGGCGAAAAGAACCCCGGCGAGGGGAGUGAAAAAGAACCUGAAACCGUGUACGUACAAGCAGUGGGAGCACCUUCGGGUGUGACUGCGUACCUUUUGUAUAAUGGGUCAGCGACUUAUAUUCUGUAGCAAGGUUAACCGUAUAGGGGAGCCGCAGGGAAACCGAGUCUUAACUGGGCGUUAAGUUGCAGGGUAUAGACCCGAAACCCGGUGAUCUAGCCAUGGGCAGGUUGAAGGUUGGGUAACACUAACUGGAGGACCGAACCGACUAAUGUUGAAAAAUUAGCGGAUGACUUGUGGCUGGGGGUGAAAGGCCAAUCAAACCGGGAGAUAGCUGGUUCUCCCCGAAAGCUAUUUAGGUAGCGCCUCGUGAAUUCAUCUUCGGGGGUAGAGCACUGUUUCGGCUAGGGGGUCAUCCCGACUUACCAACCCGAUGCAAACUACGAAUACCGAAGAAUGUUAUCACGGGAGACACACGGCGGGUGCUAACGUCCGUCGUGAAGAGGGAAACAACCCAGACCGCCAGCUAAGGUCCCAAAGUCAUGGUUAAGUGGGAAACGAUGUGGGAAGGCACAGACAGCCAGGAUGUUGGCUUAGAAGCAGCCAUCAUUUAAAGAAAGCGUAAUAGCUCACUGGUCGAGUCGGCCUGCGCGGAAGAUGUAACGGGGCUAAACCAUGCACCGAAGCUGCGGCAGCGACACUAUGUGUUGUUGGGUAGGGGAGCGUUCUGUAAGCCUGCGAAGGUGACCUGUGAGGGUUGCUGGAGGUAUCAGAAGUGCGAAUGCUGACAUAAGUAACGAUAAAGCGGGUGAAAAGCCCGCUCGCCGGAAGACCAAGGGUUCCUGUCCAACGUUAAUCGGGGCAGGGUGAGUCGACCCCUAAGGCGAGGCCGAAAGGCGUAGUCGAUGGGAAACAGGUUAAUAUUCCUGUACUUGGUGUUACUGCGAAGGGGGGACGGAGAAGGCUAUGUUAGCCGGGCGACGGUUGUCCCGGUUUAAGCAUGUAGGCUGAUUGUCCAGGCAAAUCCGGAUAAUCAAGGCUGAGGUGUGAUGACGAGGCACUACGGUGCUGAAGUAACAAAUGCCCUGCUUCCAGGAAAAGCCUCUAAGCAUCAGGUAACAUUAAAUCGUACCCCAAACCGACACAGGUGGUCAGGUAGAGAAUACCAAGGCGCUUGAGAGAACUCGGGUGAAGGAACUAGGCAAAAUGGUGCCGUAACUUCGGGAGAAGGCACGCUGGUGUGUAGGUGAAGUCCCUGCGGAUGGAGCUGAGACCAGUCGAAGAUACCAGCUGGCUGCAACUGUUUAUUAAAAACACAGCACUGUGCAAACACGAAAGUGGACGUAUACGGUGUGACGCCUGCCCGGUGCCGGAAGGUUAAUUGAUGGGGUUAUCCGUAAGGAGAAGCUCUUGAUCGAAGCCCCGGUAAACGGCGGCCGUAACUAUAACGGUCCUAAGGUAGCGAAAUUCCUUGUCGGGUAAGUUCCGACCUGCACGAAUGGCGUAAUGAUGGCCAGGCUGUCUCCACCCGAGACUCAGUGAAAUUGAACUCGCUGUGAAGAUGCAGUGUACCCGCGGCAAGACGGAAAGACCCCGUGAACCUUUACUAUAGCUUGACACUGAACAUUGAGCCUUGAUGUGUAGGAUAGGUGGGAGGCUUUGAAGCGUGGACGCCAGUCUGCGUGGAGCCAACCUUGAAAUACCACCCUUUAAUGUUUGAUGUUCUAACGUUGGCCCCUUACCGGGGUUGCGGACAGUGUCUGGUGGGUAGUUUGACUGGGGCGGUCUCCUCCCAAAGCGUAACGGAGGAGCACGAAGGUUAGCUAAUCCUGGUCGGACAUCAGGAGGUUAGUGCAAUGGCAUAAGCUAGCUUGACUGCGAGCGUGACGGCGCGAGCAGGUGCGAAAGCAGGUCAUAGUGAUCCGGUGGUUCUGAAUGGAAGGGCCAUCGCUCAACGGAUAAAAGGUACUCCGGGGAUAACAGGCUGAUACCGCCCAAGAGUUCAUAUCGACGGCGGUGUUUGGCACCUCGAUGUCGGCUCAUCACAUCCUGGGGCUGAAGUAGGUCCCAAGGGUAUGGCUGUUCGCCAUUUAAAGUGGUACGCGAGCUGGGUUUAGAACGUCGUGAGACAGUUCGGUCCCUAUCUGCCGUGGGCGCUGGAGAAUUGAGGGGGGCUGCUCCUAGUACGAGAGGACCGGAGUGGACGCAUCACUGGUGUUCGGGUUGUCAUGCCAAUGGCACUGCCCGGUAGCUAAAUGCGGAAGAGAUAAGUGCUGAAAGCAUCUAAGCACGAAACUUGCCCCGAGAUGAGUUCUCCCUGAGACUUUAAGUCUCCUGAAGGAACGUUAAAGACGAUGACGUUGAUAGGCCGGGUGUGUAAGCGCAGCGAUGCGUUGAGCUAACCGGUACUAAUGAACCGUGAGGCUUAACCUU
rnacentral:rRNA from 1 species